UCCAGGGCCCCGGCGCCCAGCUCAGCUGGAGAGGCCUAGCCUGAUCUGAGAAGUGCUAAUUCGGUUCGGAUAGACUUCAUUCAAGAAUGCCACCGCCCCGGGAAUCAAUAAGAAAACAAGUGCUAAGUUUCAGAUCAGUGAAUAAACCGAAAGGAAAGAAGAGACCUUUCUCGCUCAGCGCCUAUGGUUUGGAUACUCUUCAUUCAAGAAUGCCACCGCACCAGGAAUCAAUAAGAAAACAAGUGCUAAGUUUCAGAUCGGUGAAUAAACUGAAAGGAAAGAAGAGACCUUUCUCGCUCAGCGCUUAAAGCGCACUAUGCCCCGCU
rnacentral:lncRNA from 1 species